AUACGAUUCCAAGUCCGAAUCAUUCCCAACUACCAAACCGUUGGCCAAUCAUCUCUUCUUAAACAUAUUUAAUUGUUCUUUCUCUCUCUCUUGAAUGUACAAACAAAGCGAAAAAUCUUAGCUGCACCACCUUAUCCGGCCACGGUGCCCCUAAUGUCACUGGGAAGAAAGAGUCUACACCGAGUCUUAUUGGGCCUUGGGCUUUCGGCCCGCGACGCGAGUCCAAAAACAGCUAAAAGAAUCGGGUCAGGCCCAAAACCUGUUUUCUUUUUCGGAUCCAAUACCUGAGCCCAUGGGUUAGUAUGUUACGAAGCGAUAUAAAAGCUUCUGUCAGUCGAGCCAGCUUCUCUCCGUCGGAACCAUUGCACCGCCUCGGUUCUCAAGCUCCGAAGCAGGUAAGUCAUGGUUAAAUAUGACAAUGUCGUGCCAAAUGGGCACUUCAGAAAGCACUGGCAAAAUUAUGUCAAGACCUGGUUUAACCAGCCUGCGAGAAAAGCUAGAAGACGCUUAGCUCGGCAAAAGAAGGCUGUGAAGAUUUUCCCGAGGCCAACAGCGGGUCCACUCCGACCAGUUGUUCGUGGUCAAACCCUGAAGUAUAAUAUGAAGGUCAAACCCUGAAGUAUAAGGGAAAUCUUAGUCUCUUGAAUGAGUUUAUAUGCCUGGGAGUGCUAUUUCUCAGGAUCGAUUCCCUCUUCAUUGGGUAAUCUUUCUCAUCUCACUGCACUACUCCUCAACGGAAAUAACUUGCAAGGUAAUGGUUUCUUCCUCUCUGCCGGUUCGGUCGGAUCUCCUUCCUUCUCUCUCUGCAGCUCCAUGGAACCACGGAUCUAUCGAGCUCCACGGCCGCUCGCUCCCUACCCGACCAC